rnacentral:misc_RNA from 1 species
GAUGAAGAACGUAGCGAAAUGCGAUAAGUAGUGUGAAUUGCAGAAUUCAGUGAAUCAUCGAAUCUUUGAACGCACAUUGCGCCCCUUGGUAUUCCAUGGGGCAUGCCUGUUCGAGCGACAUUUGUACCCUCAAGCUUUGCUUGGUGUUGGGUGUUUGUCCCGCGUUGCGCGUGGACUCGCCUUAAAGCGAUUGGCAGCCGGCAUAUUGGCCUUGGAGCGCAGCACAUUUUGCGCUUCUAGUCAUGAAUGUUGGCGUCCAUUAAGCCUAUACAUUUGCUCUUGACCUCGGAUCAGGUAGGGAUACCCGCUGAACUUAAGCAUAUCAAUAAGCGGAGGA